UUCCAUUUGAAAAAGUUCCAGUUACUGGCCUGGUCGUGUUGUCCUUUCAAUGUUAAAAGCUGCAGCAAAAGCAUGGGGAUUGUUGCUUCUAGAAACACCCUAGGUCACCUGUCUGCUCUCUGCAUGUUUUUCAAGUAAACCAGAUCUUAUAAAAAAACAAAGAAAAUAAUAAAAAACAGCUGCUGCUGCUCCUGCUUUGUUUCUACUUCCUUUUGCUUUGCCCCUCCCCUUUUCCAGGUGAUUGGGUUUGGGUGCUGGGCGGGGCCGAAUGGUAUAUGAGACCCAGGCAUGCUAUCAGAGAGCUCCUUCUGCCUGGGCUGCUCCUUGGGAGGACUAAAACCAGCUUGAUUGCAUGGUACCUGUGGCUUGACAGCGUAGAUGCAGCAUUACCAAGAGACUGAGGAGAGUUGUAUCAGAGUCACCUUUUUUAUCUGCACAGGGUAAGUCUGUGAUUACCCCUGCUGGGGCUGCUGUGUGUGCAUGUCUUUUUGGCAUUUGUGGAGCUCGGUUGUUUUUUUUUUGUGUAUGUGUAUGUUCUAACUUCUUGUUUUUUUUUUGAGGGGUGAAUAGUGUGUGUGCUGAGCGUGGUUGGCAGGAGGAUGUGGGGAGCUGCUCAGGACUGGUAGGUUUGAUUUCUAGGAGUGUGCGGCAGCCUUCCUGUGCGAUGCGACUGCUUGUUGGGUGGGAAUGUACCAGCUUGUGUGUGUUGGGCAAUGUAGCUUGUGUAGUGUGUGUUGUGUGGCCCGGGUGGAGUUUGCUGUGGUGCUGUGAGUGAAGAAUCUCAGUUAGAGCUGGUGAGCAGCUGAAGUACCGGAGCUGGGAAGAGAGAGGUAUUGCAGCAGGUACGCUGUGGCUGUGAGGUGCUUCAGAGUGCGUUUCUCUUGUGUCUGCAGGUGCUUUGUGCAGUUGUGGUCGGGGAAAGGAAAUCCUCAUGUCACGAAGCACUGAGGGAAGGUGAGUGUUGUCAGCCUGGUCAUCCCUUAUCUGAAGAGAAGGGAAGGUUGUUUGGUGUUUGAUUGUUUUGGCGUAUGAUCUCUUCUG
rnacentral:lncRNA from 1 species